rnacentral:misc_RNA from 1 species
GCAAUCAUGCAGUCUUUGGAGGGGUUGAGGAAAACUUGAUGGAUAAUGUUGUGUAUAUGGGUACCUUUUUUAAGCCUUACUCUUACAUAAAUCACUACAUGCAUGGGGAUUUCGCAGCAUCUGCUGCUGCUAAUCUAGCUGUUCUUUCAUCUGAGGAAAGUCGUGUUUCAGAUACUCAUAAAUCGGGCAAUGCUAGGAAGGUCAUCUCUGACAUGUCAUUGCAAAUAAAAGCAUUUUCGAUGGCGGCCUCUCGUUUUUUCUGGCCAAGUUUUGAAAAGAGGCUUAUGGAGGUUCCAAGGGAGAGGUGUGGCUGGGGG